CGCACGUCUCUCUCGAUCUCAUCGGCAUUCGCGUCGGUCGUCCCGCUGCGCUUCACACACAUACACUCUCUCUCUCUCUUGCCUUUCUCGUAAACGUAAAAGAAAAAGCGAGCAGAGAGAGGGGGUGAGAGAGAGGGAGAGAGAGAGAGAGAGAGAGACAGAAGCAGAGAAAAGAACAAGAAAAAGGAAUAGAGGAGACAGACUCGAAAGCAGAAAUAACAGCUGACACUCUUUCUUUGCCCCCCUCCCUUCCUCUCUCUCCUCUAUUUAUUUUCUCCCCCACCCUUUGUCUCCGUCACUCACCAGAGAUCCCAACCAAAGGAGAGAGGAGCAAGAAAACAGAGAAAGAAGCAAAGAGAAGAGGUGGGACGGACUCACCAGGGUCUCUUCCGGAAUGUGGUCAGCCCUCGGGACCUCUCCUUCCCCAACAAGGAGGAGGAGGAGGAAAAGGUACCAAGAUGAUGGUGAUCCAGGCAACAACAAUGUGCUCCUGCAAUAAGACACCAAAUUCUCUAGUCCUUUUGAUUCUAUUAGUCAACAUGAAUUAGAUAAGGACAUGCUUGGAGAACUAGGGAAUGAAGCCAUUGGUCCGCAAGACAUAAAUAUUUUGGGUCAUUAUAAAUGACAUUUCUCAUCUCUAUUUCUAGUUCAGUUCAAUGACAUUCAGUUCAGUUCAAUUCUCUUCCUUGUUGGUAUUUACCUAGGUUUAUACUUCAGUUCAAUUCUCUUCUUGGGAGAUGAAUGUUGACAGGUAGCAACAUAUAUCUUCACAAAAAACCAAGGUAGAAUUCGGCCAUAAAUUCUAUUCAGAGCAAAAACACUUACUACACAUGCCUUUACAAUUUGAUUUGGUGCAUGUACUUCUUAUUUGUAUGAAUGAACGAACAUGCACAUCUCCAACUUGCAGGGUUUGCAUGUGUGUAUCUUCUGCUAAUGCCAUCAGAGAAAAUCAACAAACAAGUCCAAUCUAAUGUAAAUGUUUUGUUACCUCAAAAUAUGUAGCUGUGGCAACUUGAGACGUAUAAUUAUCUGUUGUUAUCUCAACAUAUAUUUCCUGAGACAAAUGCAUAUACAAAGCUGUGUUGUUGAGAACUGUAGGUAACAAUUGUUGUAGAGUGUCUUAGUCAAUACAAGAGAUUUGUUAACUCACCUUCAUGCAAGUACAAGCAUCUACAGCUUCUGGUGACCAAGGGCUUCAUGACCUCUUUGACAAUCCACCACAGCAUGCAAAAUCCAAUUGAUUGUCAGGUUCCUUUCAAGUGAGAGUUCUGAGUCAUUGAUCAGAUAAUACUUGCAGAGACAACAAAAGAUGGUGUAGACUGCAAAAUCCAAUUGAUUGUCAGGUUCCUUUCAAGUGAGAGUUCUGAGUCAUUGAUCAG